rnacentral:rRNA from 1 species
AGUGAACGCUGGCGGUAGGCCUAAUACAUGCAAGUCGAACGGCAGCACAGUAAGAGCUUGCUCUUACGGGUGGCGAGUGGCGGACGGGUGAGGAAUACAUCGGAAUCUACUUUUUCGUGGGGGAUAACGUGGGGAAACUUACGCUAAUACCGCAUACGACCUACGGGUGAAAGCAGGGGAUCUUCGGACCUUGCGCGAUUGGAUGAGCCGAUGUCGGAUUAGCUAGUUGGCGGGGUAAAGGCCCACCAAGGCGACGAUCCGUAGCUGGUCUGAGAGGAUGAUCAGCCACACUGGAACUGAGACACGGUCCAGACUCCUACGGGAGGCAGCAGUGGGGAAUAUUGGACAAUGGGCGCAAGCCUGAUCCAGCCAUACCGCGUGGGUGAAGAAGGCCUUCGGGUUGUAAAGCCCUUUUGUUGGGAAAGAAAAGCAGCAGGUUAAUACCCCGCUGUUCUGACGGUACCCAAAGAAUAAGCACCGGCUAACUUCGUG